UGGGGGAUAUUGCACAAUGGGCGAAAGCCUGAUGCAGCGACGCCGCGUGGGGGAUGAAGGCUUUCGGGUUGUAAACCUCUUUCGCUAUCGAACAAGGCCCGCUUAGGGUGGGUUGAGGGUAGGUGGAGAAGAAGCGCCGGCUAACUACGUGCCAGCAGCCGCGGUAAUACGUAGGGCGCGAGCGUGGUCCGGAAUUAUUGGGCGUAAAGGGCUUGUAGGCGGCUUGUUGCGCCUGCUGUGAAAACGCGGGGCUUAACUUCGCGCGCGCAGUGGGUACGGGCAGGCUUGAGUGUGGUAGGGGUGACUGGAAUUCCAGGUGUAGCGGUGGAAUGCGCAGAUAUCUGGAGGAACACCGAUGGCGAAGGCAGGUCACUGGGCCAUUACUGACGCUGAGGAGCGAAAGCAUGGGUAGCGAACAGG
rnacentral:rRNA from 1 species